rnacentral:rRNA from 1 species
GAUGAACGCUGGCGGCGUGCCUAAUACAUGCAAGUCGAGCGAACGGACGAGAAGCUUGCUUUUCUGAUGUUAGCGGCGGACGGGUGAGUAACACGUGGAUAACCUACCUAUAAGACUGGGAUAACUUCGGGAAACCGGAGCUAAUACCGGAUAAUAUUUUGAACCGCAUGGUUCAAAAGUGAAAGACGGUCUUGCUGUCACUUAUAGAUGGAUCCGCGCUGCAUUAGCUAGUUGGUAAGGUAACGGCUUACCAAGGCAACGAUGCAUAGCCGACGUGAGAGGGGGGUAGGCGACAUGAGAGCGGGAACGCGGUCCAGAGGACUGCGGGAGGGAGCAGUAGGGAAUGUUCGGCAGUAGGCGGAAGCAUGGCGGAGCGGCGGCGAGUGAGAGAUAGCAGCGUUCGGAUCGUAAAACUCUGUUAUUAGGGAAGAACAUAUGUGUAAGUAAAUGUAGACAGCUUGACGGUAACGAGUAAGAAAGCAACGGCUAACUACGUG